CCUACGGGUGGCAGCAGUGAGGAAUAUUGGUCAAUGGGCGCGAGUCUGAACCAGCCAAGUCGCGUGAGGGAAGACGGCCCUACGGGUUGUAAACCUCUUUUGCCGGGGAACAACGGGCGCCACGUGUGGCGCCACUGAUAGUACCCGGAGAAAAAGCAUCGCCUAACUCCGUGCCAGCAGCCGCGGUAAUACGGAGGAUGCGAGCGUUAUCCGGUUUUAUUGGGUUUAAAGGGUGCGUAGGCGGCGCGUAAAGUCAGUGGUCAAAUUUAGGGACUAAACCCCUUACCGCAAUUGAUACUGGCGGUCGUGAGUGGAAGAGAAGUAUGCGGAAUGCGUGGUGUAGCGGUGAAAUGCAUAGAUAUCACGCAGAACCCCGAUUGCGAAGGCAGCAUGCCGGCUUCCUACUGACGCUGAAGCACGAAAGCGUGGGGAUCGAACAGGAUUAGAUACCCGUGUAGUC
rnacentral:rRNA from 1 species